rnacentral:rRNA from 1 species
AAAAGCCUCUAAGCAUCAGGUAACAUCAAAUCGUACCCCAAACCGACACAGGUGGUCAGGUAGAGAAUACCAAGGCGCUUGAGAGAACUCGGGUGAAGGAACUAGGCAAAAUGGUGCCGUAACUUCGGGAGAAGGCACGCUGAUAUGUAGGUGAAGCGACUUGCUCGUGGAGCUGAAAUCAGUCGAAGAUACCAGCUGGCUGCAACUGUUUAUUAAAAACACAGCACUGUGCAAACACGAAAGUGGACGUAUACGGUGUGACGCCUGCCCGGUGCCGGAAGGUUAAUUGAUGGGGUUAGCGGUAACGCGAAGCUCUUGAUCGAAGCCCCGGUAAACGGCGGCCGUAACUAUAACGGUCCUAAGGUAGCGAAAUUCCUUGUCGGGUAAGUUCCGACCUGCACGAAUGGCGUAAUGAUGGCCAGGCUGUCUCCACCCGAGACUCAGUGAAAUUGAACUCGCUGUGAAGAUGCAGUGUACCCGCGGCAAGACGGAAAGACCCCGUGAACCUUUACUAUAGCUUGACACUGAACAUUGAGCCUUGAUGUGUAGGAUAGGUGGGAGGCUUUGAAGUGUGGACGCCAGUCUGCAUGGAGCCGACCUUGAAAUACCACCCUUUAAUGUUUGAUGUUCUAACGUUGGCCCCUAAUCGGGGUUGCGGACAGUGUCUGGUGGGUAGUUUGACUGGGGCGGUCUCCUCCUAAAGAGUAACGGAGGAGCACGAAGGUUGGCUAAUCCUGGUCGGACAUCAGGAGGUUAGUGCAAUGGCAUAAGCCAGCUUGACUGCGAGCGUGACGGCGCGAGCAGGUGCGAAAGCAGGUCAUAGUGAUCCGGUGGUUCUGAAUGGAAGGGCCAUCGCUCAACGGAUAAAAGGUACUCCGGGGAUAACAGGCUGAUACCGCCCAAGAGUUCAUAUCGACGGCGGUGUUUGGCACCUCGAUGUCGGCUCAUCACAUCCUGGGGCUGAAGUAGGUCCCAAGGGUAUGGCUGUUCGCCAUUUAAAGUGGUACGCGAGCUGGGUUUAGAACGUCGUGAGACAGUUCGGUCCCUAUCUGCCGUGGGCGCUGGAGAACUGAGGGGGGCUGCUCCUAGUACGAGAGGACCGGAGUGGACGCAUCACUGGUGUUCGGGUUGUCAUGCCAAUGGCACUGCCCGGUAGCUAAAUGCGGAAGAGAUAAGUGCUGAAAGCAUCUAAGCACGAAACUUGCCCCGAGAUGAGUUCUCCCUGAGACUUAGAGUCUCCUGAAGGAACGUUGAAGACGACGACGUUGAUAGGCCGGGUGUGUAAGCGCAGCGAUGCGUUGAGCUAACCGGUACUAAUGAACCGUGAGGCUUAACCUUACAACGCCGAAG